ensembl:lncRNA
GAAAAGAAAAGAAAAGAAAAGAAAAGAAAAGAAAAGAAAAGAAAAGAAAAGAAAAGAAAAGAAAAGAAAAGAAAAGAAAAGAAAAGAAAAGAAAAGAAAAGAAAAGAAAAGAAAAGAAAAGAAAAGAAAAGAAAAGAAAAGAAAAGAAAAAAAAAAGCAUAUUUUCCAGUCCUCAGGCUGGCAAACAAAACCUUCCUGCGUCUGCCUGAUAUCUGCAGUUUCAAGGAAAGCUGUUCAAGUUUGGAGAAUUUGUUUGUGCAGCAGUACUAUGUAUCUUCAUAAAGCCAGCAAUGUAGCUGCAACUCAAGGCUCAUUUUUCUUCCUUACUUUGAAAUAUCUAGUUAGAAAGGAAAUCACUCAGGAAGGAGUGCAACAAAGAGAUUGAUUAUAGCAAAGCACUUACAGUGCAAUGCUUCCUAGCUCGUCAGUGAAUGGCUCAGCCAAAAACUGCCUGUUAUAUACAGCAGCAACAUGUAUACAUCAGCAUUUCCAAGAGAAGAUUGUACAGCAGUUCCACAAUGACUUUUCUGAUGCAGUCAUACUAACACUAUUAGGAGUAAUUCCAAGAUACUCUUUUUUUCUGUCCCUGAAUACAGUGGUUUGAUUCCAGGAUACCUUUUUCAACGAAGGCUGCUCUGAAAACAAUGCCUCCAGUUUUAUUCUGUCGACCCACGAUGUCAGAGGCGGAUGUUAGUGGAAGUAGAGGUUGAAUCCUCUCACCAGCAUUCCAUUACAUGUUGUUGCUGGUUGUUGCUGUGGGACAGAUGGCAGAAGAGGGGCACUCUGACAAAAAGGCAUCUGGUUUGGAAAUACGUAUGAAGCACAGGUGUGUCAUUGAAUUCCUCCAUGCAGAAAAAAUGGCACCCAAUGACAUUCACUGAUGUAUGCUGAAUGCUUAUAGAGACCAAACAGUGGAUGUGAGCACAGUGAGACGGUGGGUGGCGCGCUUCAGCAGUAGUCACAGCGACACGAAAGACAAGGUAUUUUUUGGAUGGCCAUGAAGAUUUUUAUGAACAUGGCAUGCAGUCUCUUGUUCAUCAUUGGCAAAAUUCGUAGCUAAUGGUGAUGACUAUGUUGAAAUAUAGAAUUUUGUAGCUGAGAAUUUGUUCUAUCAAAUAGUGUUAUUGUACUUUUUGUAGAUGUUGUGUUUUCCAUGGAAAUAAAUAAAAGGCAUUACUUUUGGAGUGACUUAGGGACAUAAAAGUUAUUUAUUUAAUAAUUAAAUGUCCACUUAUUCUGGGAAGCCAAUGCCAUGCAACAUCUUUUCGUUGACAAUCCUAUCCAUUUCUAUUUUAGCAAGGAGAUUGCAGUUCAGGAGGGAAGGUUUCUAGAUCACCAUUUCAUUUUAUGCGGACUUUAUUUUUAUUCCUUACAACCCGAAAAAUUAUGCAAGUAGUUCUAUUUGAAAACUGUUAACAGAAAGUUGGGAGUUACAAGUCACUCUGAAAAUGUAAGGAUGUCUUUAGUGGGUGAAGUGCAAGGACCUUCAGGGUACAGAACAAUCACAAAGUUCAUGUUCCAAUGGAGCCUGCCACUGCUUUCUUAUUAAUUCCAGGAGGAUCAAGAUUGCGUGCCUUUUCAACAUUGAUAUUCAAUACUCAUGAUAACAUUUUCUGAGUACUGCCACUGUUCAAAGGAUGAAAAUUAGAUAGAAGUUUGUUUACUCCCGUUUAUGAGUACAGGUGGUCUUGUAGUAUUACUUUUUUCUUCUUCUUUUUCCUAGCAAAUGUGCCUUGGGAUAUACACUACGAGAAAGCAUGCAUUAGUAUCUGUUUAGAAUGCCACACUUGAGAACACAGAACCAUUGGCAGAUUAUGUAAUGCUGUGGCAUUAUAGAAUCUUUCCAUUUUCACUUUUGGCCGUUCGUCAUCAUAAUGUCCAGAGCCUUCUUGGUGUUUUAUAUUUCCCUAGAAAGGCAUGCAAUUCUCAGUAAGAGUAAUGGAAGAGACAGUGAUCUGGCAAAAAGAAAAUGCAAAGACAAGGAAAACCCUCCAUAGGAAGAUUGUGUUAGAAAGUUGGGAAGAUUAGUUGUUAUCAUUAAAAUAAUCAUGCUUCCUCUACUUAUAAUAUGAGCAAAACCAAGCUAACUUGAAAGUGAAGUAUGAUGACAAAUAGAAAAUGGGAUUUUCUGAACUGUUCCCUAUGGUCAGAGUGAGAAGUUUUGAUAAUUCUGAAUAAUUUCUAGUGGAUGCUAAAAUAAACAUAAAUGCAGUAGUAAAUGCACUGACUUGCCUUCCAACCAUAUUUACACCCAUGUUUUUGUAAGCGAUUACAGAUUUUGUGUACCAACAUGAAACAUUUUUUUUGUUCGUUUUGGAGAGUGAAUGUUAAAUGUCAGUCUGAUAUCAGCAGAAAAAAAAAUGAGUAUGAUAAGAUACGGCACCCAAAAUUCUCCCUUGUAUCUGAAAACCUUGAUCUGAACAAAUAGUUGCAGCUUAGCCUGUGCUCAGGUGGUUUUGUCUGGGGGUUUCUCCUACUAAAAAGUGCGUGAUAUC